CUCUGCUAUGGAAUUUUUAAAUUCUUCUUCUGGCAUCUGUUGCUAAAAAUACCAGUCAGUAAUUUUAAUAUGUUCCGUGUAAAGGUAUUUCCUUAACCUUUUUCUUUAAACAGGUGAAAUCUAUGUAGAUUAUGAUGGUUUAAUCCAGCGCAUGCGCAUAAUAAUUAUAACGUCACUCGCUGCAUAGCCACAAGAGGGCGCACAAUAAAAAUAUCGCUGAUAACUUGCCAAAAUUGGUACAAAAAGAAGUGCUGCAGUCUUUAGCUCAUUUUUACUUUGCGUGCAGUUGAAUGCUCGGAGUUGCGUGAAAGAACUCGGAACCAAAUUAAGAGAGCACUGACCCUCUGCUGACCCUGCACGGUGUGAAACAUGUCACACAAGAGUGGCCGUGACCUCGUGUAUGUGUUCUGAGUGUUUACCCCGGAGUAGCCCUUGAAUAUUCUCGAACUGGGCUUGUGACUCCAUUCAACCACCGGUAUGUGUUCAUCAAGACACAGACUGCUGGAGCUGGAGAAACCACAAAAAUUACAGCAGAUGACAAGUAGCAGUCAGGGUUCCCUCAUUCCUGAAGGCUGAUGCUACUGGCAGCUCAGCAGCAACUCUUGGCAGAAACAUGGUGAACAGUACUGACGCUCCUCCGCCUCCCCGUUUCUCUGUGGUUUGGAGAUGUCACGUCUGGCUGGGUCUGAAGUGCUUCUGUGGGGAUAUGAUGAUUAUUCUUCUCCACACACACAUAGACGGGUUUCAUCCUGUCUGAAGCUGCAGACUCUGCACUGUGUGGUUUGAAUCUGCUUCUGGUCAGUUUGACCUGGAUCUCUCUGCUCGCUGCACUGAUUGUUCUACCUGCCACGUAAUGAGCAGUGUGAGCAUGAAGCAUUCAUUUCAGAAGAGAUCUGUUGGUGUCUAAAUAAACACUGC